rnacentral:rRNA from 1 species
AGUCGGGGGGUAUAGUUCUUCGGGAUUAGAGACCGGCGCACGGGUGCGUAACGCGUAUGCAAUCUACCUUUCACAGAGGGAUAGCCCAGAGAAAUUUGGAUUAAUACCUCAUAGUAUAUGGACUUGGCAUCAAGAUCAUAUUAAAGUCACAACGGUGAAAGAUGAGCAUGCGUCCCAUUAGCUAGUUGGUAAGGUAACGGCUUACCAAGGCAACGAUGGGUAGGGGUCCUGAGAGGGAGAUCCCCCACACUGGUACUGAGACACGGACCAGACUCCUACGGGAGGCAGCAGUGAGGAAUAUUGGUCAAUGGGCGCAAGCCUGAACCAGCCAUGCCGCGUGCAGGAUGACGGUCCUAUGGAUUGUAAACUGCUUUUGUACGGGAAGAAACAGCGAUUCGUGAAUCGCCUUGACGGUACCGUAAGAAUAAGGAUCGGCUAACUCCGUGCCAGCAGCCGCGGUAAUACGGAGGAUCCAAGCGUUAUCCGGAAUCAUUGGGUUUAAAGGGUCCGUAGGCGGUUUGGUAAGUCAGUGGUGAAAGCCCAUCGCUCAACGGUGGAACGGCCAUUGAUACUGCCAGACUUGAAUUAUUAGGAAGUAACUAGAAUAUGUAGUGUAGCGGUGAAAUGCUUAGAGAUUACAUGGAAUACCAAUUGCGAAGGCAGGUUACUAC